AUGGCGACCGGCGCACGGGUGAGUAACGCGUAUCCAACCUGCCCUUUACUAUGGGACAGCCCGUCGAAAGGCGGAUUAAUACCGUAUGUUGUCAUGUUGAUGCAUAUUUUCAUGACCAAAGGCUUCGGCCGGUAAAGGAUGGGGAUGCGUCUGAUUAGCUUGCCGGCGGGGUAACGGCCCACCGGGGCGACGAUCAGUAGGGGUUCUGAGAGGAAGGUCCCCCGCAUUGGAACUGAGACACGGUCCAAACUCCUACGGGAGGCAGCAG
rnacentral:rRNA from 1 species